rnacentral:rRNA from 1 species
AGCGAACGCUGGCGGCGUGCCUAACACAUGCAAGUCGAGCGAGAAAGGGGUGGCAACACCCUGAGUAAAGCGGCGAACGGGUGAGUAACGCGUGGGCAAUCUACCUUCCAGUCUGGGAUAACCUUCCGAAAGGGGGGCUAAUACCGGAUGAUGUCCUGUUGGGGCAUCCUGAGGGGAGCAAAGGGGGCGACCCGCAAGGGGCUCUCGCUGGAGGAGGAGCCUGCGUCCGAUUAGCAGUUGGUGGGGUAACGGGCUCACCAAGGCGACGAUCGGUAGCCGGCCUGAGAGGGUGACCGGCCACACUGGGACUGAGACACGGCCCAGACCUCCUACGGGGAGGCAGCAGUGGGGAAUCUUGCGCAAUGGGCGAAAGCCUGACGCAGCGACGCCGCGUGGGGGACGAAGG